rnacentral:lncRNA from 1 species
UCGGUCAUAUAUACCAUCCAAUGAAGAAAUUUUGGUUUUUUGAAAACUUAAAGUGGCAUCCUCAAAACUCUCUUCAUUAUAUUACAUAACAUGUAGAUGAUGAUAUUAAUUAUUAUAUAACACUAUAUCCAUCUCUUUAUGGUACGUACAUAUUACUCACAAAAAUAGAUGCGUGCAAUAUAUAUAUAUAUAUAUAUAUAUCUUUAUAUAGACUAUAUACUAAAAUGAUAUAGAAAAUUGCAGGUAUCAUCAUAGUGUUUCCAAGUGGAGAAAUUGGAGAUAGAAGCGUACUCCUUAAGAACCACCUCUUUUUUUUUUUUUUUUUUUUUAAUUUUUUAUAUUGAUAGCAAUAUCAGAGACUGAAUAAGGGAAAAGGAAAGUAAAGAGACACACUCUGCCGUCAAAAACAUAAAAUAAGGUCUAGCAUUAGGUCAUUAUGUAUUACUACUACAUAAUCUAAUGAUCUCUAAUUUCUCUGAUCUUUGCUUUUUUUCAGGAUGAAAUUUACUAAUAUAGCCUAAAAAUUUGAACAUGCAUGAUUUUUUAACAAAAUAGCUUAUAAAACUAUAGUUAGACAAAAACCCAC